rnacentral:lncRNA from 12 species
GCCGGCUGCACCCCACGCUGCCAGUCCGAGGCUCUAAGAAACACGGCUGGUUUCAGUUCUGCUUUCACCAGCAGCUUCUUUCUGCUCUUUCAGUUGCUCCGCAGCUGUCAUUUGUGGUAUGUGUCACGCCGUGUUCCCGGAAUGAGCGGGACAGAGGCCCCGUUAAGGCCGCACUUGCGCUCUGCACCUCCAACUCCCGGCGGACCUUCCUCAGGGGCUUCAUGACAAUAAGCAGUCUACGCAGACACGUUUUCCCGGUAGUCUCACCGUGACUCGACCCGUUAUGGGGGUUCUAUGGGGCCUCUCAUAGUAGGGCCACCUGGGCAGGAGAGCUGCCCACGGAAGGGGUGACCUCACGCAGCCUUCAGGUGGCCUGCAGGGACGGUGUGACCUGCUGCUCUGAGCUCAGACACGUGCUGAGGACACGUGCUCCCUGCGGUGACUUCAGGGCUAAUUUGGAGUCCCCAGGCCUCACGUUCGCCCUUCGCAAGCCUACCCACCCACUCAGCAGGGAGAUGUGGGGACGGUGCUUUCUCUGCACACACCCCAACUCCGUAGGAUCUUUGGUUUCUCUUUGAAACAGUGAGCGCCCUGUCCGCAGAAGCCGGGCUCAGCUAAACGUCCUCGGCCCCCAAGGGGCAGCGGUUUCAGAGCUCCUGGAUCACACGGCUCCUGAAGGCGGCUGACCCCCCCCCCCCGUCAUUUGCAUCCCUUUGAACUGGAUUUCCUGUCUGUUUAGACUGUAAAAAGUCCUAAGAGAGUCCAACAAACAGAAAUGAGAUCACUGCUUGCCAACGAUCCACAUGAGCGCAGAAUUUUAUGAGGGGAAAAGGAAAACCUGUUUUGACAUAUAAGCAUCAGAAUAAUCCACAUCCAAGUAGGAACCUUUACAAUGACUAUGAGGAAAAUAGAAACAGCCAGGUGCAAGGCUCUGGAAGUCCAGCCCCAGCCCGUGGCCUGUUUCCACCGCUCUCGUCCAAGAGGAAGGAGUCACUGAAGCUGCCAGGGUCCCAGGCCGACCGCGGAGCAAAUCACCCCCACAGCCGCGAGGGCGGCCCAGACUCCUGCUGUCCCCCGGGGGACCUGCCCACGGGCCGCCUCUUCGGGGCCCAGAGACCGGGAGCAAGGUCAGAUUCCCCAGAAAACGGUGUGUUACUUCUCUAGGCUUCCUCCGCUGACUGGUUACUUCUUUGGUUUGGUUCAGAUUUUGAAAACACAUCAUUUCAAUGCCAAGAUUAACAAAAGCUGGCGCUUUAUGAUGUUGGAAUUGACCCAACAAUUCACAGAUUAAAAACAAAAAACAAAAAAACUUCAGAGCCAAUCAAGUUGGAAAAAGCUGCACAUUCUGUUCGCUGGAUGGUCCUGCCGACCCUGCAGACCCAGGUCCUCCCACUGUCCAUUUGGGGAGUUGUAAGAAUUCGUAAGAAACAAAAGGAAAAUCUCCCUGCCUUCAUUUUUAUGUCUCCGGUGUUGAUACUAUCUCCCUGCCCACGGCUCUGCUGAGUAAACAGCCUCAUCUCUGCACGGCCACCCCCACCGCAGCGCCCUCCCCCGCCGGCCCGAGAGGGUGGAGGCUGGACCCGACUGGACGCGGCCGACCCCUGAGCUGCCACGACCCACCAUGGCCUGGGUGGCCCAGGUGGCCUGGUCGAGAUGAUGAGCAGAGUCCCCUUGGGAACCGGGGUGCAUAGAGAUGGAUCUCACGGGGCGGGAGCUGAAGCCAAAAGGAUGUGUAACUGGAGCUGCAGCGGGGGUUGGGGGCUGGGGGCCGGGGGCUGGGGGCAUAGAGCCCUGGGGAAGCAGGAGGGACGCUGACCACCGUGCAUGUGAACACAGCAGCACUUGUCAAAAGGGGAUGGCCUUCAGCUGGUCACCACCCCACUUGGGGUGUCCCCUCUUUC